rnacentral:rRNA from 1 species
CAGCAGCCACGGUAAAACGUAGGUGGCAAGCGUUGUCCGGAAUUAUUGGGCGUAAAGGGCUCGCAGGCGGUUUCUUAAGUCUGAUGUGAAAGCCCCCGGCUCAACCGGGGAGGGUCAUUGGAAACUGGGAAACUUGAGUGCAGAAGAGGAGAGUGGAAUUCCACGUGUAGCGGUGAAAUGCGUAGAGAUGUGGAGGAACACCAGUGGCGAAGGCGACUCUCUGGUCUGUAACUGACGCGGAGGAGCGAAAGCGUGGGGAGCGAACAGGAUUAGAUACCCCCGUAGUCCCUGUCUCUUAUAC